rnacentral:rRNA from 1 species
UACGGGGGGGGCAAGCGUUGUUCGGAAUUACUGGGCGUAAAGGGCUCGUAGGCGGCCAACUAAGUCGGAUGUGAAAUCCCCAGGCUUAACCUGGGAACUGCAUCCGAUACUGGAUGGCUUGAAUCCGGGAGAGGGAUGCGGAAUUCCAGGUGUAGCGGUGAAAUGCGUAGAUAUCAGGAGGAACACCAAUGGCGAAGGCAGCUCGCUGGGACGUGACUGACGCUGGAGACGCGAAAGCGUGGGGAGCAAACAGG